ACUUACGGCCACACCUCCCUGAGCACGCCAGAUCUCGUCUGAUCAAUCGAAGCUAAGAGGGUCGGGCCCGAUUAGUACUUGGAUGGGAGACCGCCUGGGAAUACCAGGUGCUGUAAGCC
rnacentral:rRNA from 1 species